UUAAAAUUUAAUUUUUUUUUUGCCUCUCCAACAGCACCCCUGGCAAAUAUUUCAGAAGCACCAACGGGAUCUGCAUCAAAAGCACCAUUGGCAGUUGUGUCAGCACCCCUUGCAGUUAUUUCAG
rnacentral:lncRNA from 1 species